rnacentral:ncRNA from 1 species
AAUUGACAAAGGCACACCUGUCGAAAGUCAGGGUCGCAAAGCCACCGGUCUAAGGGGAAACCUACGACAGCGGGGUUGCCAAC